UAAGACGAACCGUGCGAACGUUGUUCGGAAUCACUGGGCUUAAAGGGCGCGUAGGCGGGCGUGACAGUCAGGGGUGAAAGCCCACGGCUCAACCGUGGAAGUGCCUUUGAUACUUCACGUCUGGAGGGAGGUAGGGGCGUGCGGAACUUCCGGUGGAGCGGUGAAAUGCGUAGAUAUCGGAAGGAACACCGGUGGCGAAAGCGGCGCGCUGGACCUCUUCUGACGCUGAGGCGCGAAAGCCAGGGGAGCAAACGGGAUUAGAUACCCCGGUAGUCCUGGCCCUAAACGAUGGGUACUAGGUUGUGGACUUACAUGGGUUCACAGCCGAAGCAAAAGUGUUAAGUACCCCGCCUGGGGAGUAUGGUCGCAAGGCUG
rnacentral:rRNA from 1 species